CCUACGGGGGACAGCAGUGGGGGAUAUUGCACAAUGGGGGAAACCCUGAUGCAGCGACGCCGCGUGAGCGAUGAAGUAUUUCGGUAUGUAAAGCUCUAUCAGCAGGGAAGAAAAUGACGGUACCUGACCAAGAAGCCCCGGCUAACUACGUGCCAGCAGCCGCGGUAAUACGUAGGGGGCAAGCGUUAUCCGGAUUUACUGGGUGUAAAGGGAGCGUAGACGGGUGUGCAAGUCUGAAGUGAAAGCCCGGGGCCCAACCCCGGGACUGCAUUUGAAACUGUGUGACUGGAGUGUCGGAGAGGCAGGCGGAAUUCCUGGUGUAGCGGUGAAAUGCGUAGAUAUCAGGAGGAACACCGGUGGCGAAGGCGGCCUGCUGGACGAAAACUGACGUUGAGGCUCGAAAGCGUGGGGAGCAAACAGGAUUAGAUACCCGGGUAGUC
rnacentral:rRNA from 1 species